rnacentral:rRNA from 1 species
GGGUAACCUGCCCUUAAGUGGGGGAUAACAUUUGGAAACAGAUGCUAAUACCGCAUAAAUCCAAGAACCGCAUGGUUCUUGGCUGAAAGAUGGCGUAAGCUAUCGCUUUUGGAUGGACCCGCGGCGUAUUAGCUAGUUGGUGAGGUAACGGCUCACCAAGGCAAUGAUACGUAGCCGAACUGAGAGGUUGAUCGGCCACAUUGGGACUGAGACACGGCCCAAACUCCUACGGGAGGCAGCAGUAGGGAAUCUUCCACAAUGGACGCAAGUCUGAUGGAGCAACGCCGCGUGAGUGAAGAAGGCUUUCGGGUCGUAAAACUCUGUUGUUGGAGAAGAAUGGUCGGCAGAGUAACUGUUGUCGGCGUGACGGUAUCCAACCAGAAAGCCACGGCUAACUACGUGCCAGCAGCCGCGGUAAUACGUAGGUGGCAAGCGUUAUCCGGAUUUAUUGGGCGUAAAGCGAGCGCAGGCGGUUUUUUAAGUCUGAUGUGAAAGCCCUCGGCUUAACCGAGGAAGUGCAUCGGAAACUGGGAAACUUGAGUGCAGAAGAGGACAGUGGAACUCCAUGUGUAGCGGUGAAAUGCGUAGAUAUAUGGAAGAACACCAGUGGCGAAGGCGGCUGUCUGGUCUGUAACUGACGCUGAGGCUCGAAAGCAUGGGUAGCGAACAGGAUUAGAUACCCUGGUAGUCCAUGCCGUAAACGAUGAAUGCUAGGUGUUGGAGGGUUUCCGCCCUUCAGUGCCGCAGCUAACGCAUUAAGCAUUCCGCCUGGGGAGUACGACCGCAAGGUUGAAACUCAAAGGAAUUGACGGGGGCCCGCACAAGCGGUGGAGCAUGUGGUUUAAUUCGAAGCAACGCGAAGAACCUUACCAGGUCUUGACAUCUUUUGAUCACCUGAGAGAUCAGGUUUCCCCUUCGGGGGCAAAAUGA